AAUAGUAAACAUAUUAAUGAUGUCAAAUGGCUGAAACCUGACUACCUAGAGGCUACUCUGGACUGGUUUAGAGGGUAUAAGGUCUCUGAUGGAAAACCAGAGAACUUUCAGGGCCAAAUUUAAAGAUACGGAUUUUGCAACUGAUAUCAUUAAAGGCAUUCAUGACCACUGAAGCACAUUUGUGUCGAAACAAAAAAAGGAAAACAAAGCAAUCAGUUGUGUAAAUACAACAGCAUCUCAGAGCCCCUCAAGUGUGAUCCUGACAUAGCUGAAGCCAUUGUGGAUGCUUUCCCACCACCAUGUAUAGCUGCCUUAUGUAGCACGCACAGAUGUGAGCAGCUGGUUCCAACACCAG
rnacentral:lncRNA from 10 species